UUUCCGUAGGUGAACCUGCGGAAGGAUCAUUAUUGUAUAAUCGAGGUGCGAGGGCUGUCGCUGACAAGACAGGUCGUGCACGCACGAGUGCACUGAAACACAUCCAUCUCCGACUUAUGUGUACCUCCGCGCGGGUCCACAUCUGGCUAGGUCGGAGGGGGGCUCAUGUUUUCACACAAGCUAUGUAUGCAGUGUAGAAUGUGUUUUUUGUUUUUGAGAUCACGCAAUUAAUACCAUUUUCUACAACCGAUCUCUUGUCUCUCGCACCGAUGAUGAACG
rnacentral:misc_RNA from 1 species